GGCCUUAUAUACCAGGAUCUGCUUUAAACUGGAUUAUAUGAGUCUGCACUGCACUUGGGAGCCCCUUCUGUCACGACUUUCCAAUUUAUAUGCAAUUUAUGUCUGUCCUUGUUUAUCUGCAGGCUUUCUCCAUAAAUAAGCUUCCAUAUUCCCAGAAUUCUUGCUUGCAUAGAGAACCAUCACACAAAAUGAAACUGCUCCUUUUCUGAAGCAUCACUUUUCACAUGAAGAAAGCAACUGGAGGGCCUAAACACAUUUGGAAAACAAAAUGAUGCUGCCAUCAAGAAAGAUUGUACGAAGAUUGUUUCCAAACAACAGAACGAGGCAAGAUUUAUCCAGAAGACUGCGUGUGUGGUUCAUUUUCAAUCUCCAUGAGGAAGUCACAGCUUUUUCCUUCUAUUUCUCUUCGUCUUCUGAUCUACUGUAUUUCAUGCAAACAGAAAAUUGAAACCAAUAUGAUGGUAGUAACUAGUUUCUAUUCCUGUUCACAAAUAAAGUAUAAGGCUGAGAUGUCUAACUUUUUAAAUAUCAAAACAGAUGAAGUUGGAUUCUUCCCUUACUAUUCUGUGAUCCUCCAUUCCACCCUGCUGUCGGACCUGAUGCCCUGUGCUUUUUGAGCUGUUCACCAACUCCACUGACCUGCUGAGAAGACCAAAAGCUACAGAAGAAUGACUGACAAGGAAAACAAAGAAGGGGAGGAGAGAGAGAGAAAAAGACCUAUCUGCCUAGUCUGGACCUGCUGCACGUCACAGAGGAAUUGGUGAUUGACCGUUUCCUAGAGAUGGAUACCAUCCACCCUGAAGAAAUCUUUAUCAAGAUAAGUUAUGUCCUGGUGGUGUGAGUAUGGUCCCAUACCGCUACUCAAUGCCUUGUGAAUUGCCCUAUUCACUGAGCAUGUAGAGACCAUUUUCCUUUUUCUGCAGAUUUAUAGUACGUGCUUUCCAGUCUCUAAUCCUGCUGGCAUUUCUGUCAUCCUUCCCUGAGUAAUCUCUGUGUGAAAUGGAAUUGCAACAAGGUACCUGCUUCUGACUGUCACACUGGAAAUUGAUCAUUGGAGGAAUGUCAGUCAUUUGCUUCGUGAUCAACAGAGGACUAGACUUCUGUUGUUUGCAGCAUCUGCAGCCCACUUUCUCCCUAAUCCAUUGUGCUGACCAAUUGUAUGAUCAUAAAGACGAGAGUUUGGGGCCCGUUUUGUGGCAGAGAAGGACUGUGCAUGUAAUCACAAGCUUACUGCAUCCCAUCCCAUCUGAUGACCCCUCCCUUCCUCUCUGUGCUUAUCAUGAGAGCCCUUUCAAAGGAAAAUUACACCAGACUUCAAUGGGAAGGGGGAGGGAGCAUCCCUCUCUUUCUGAGAGUAUUCAGUGCCACAGCCACAAAAGGUGCUUUCUUGCUGAGGCUUUUCCUUUAUCUCUGUUCUGACCACAAUCUACUUCUUAAGAUGUCUCCAACUUGACUUACAACUUCACCACAUGGGCAAAAUUGCCUGUCCUGGGACAGUUUGACCUCAGUGGAUUGCUGUGAGGUCACAGCUCUCUUCAGGCAUGGAGCCUGCCAGAUCCCAUCACACAAUGUCAAUCUGCUUCCAGCAGAUGGUUUACAAUCGCUCCCUGCUUCUGUCCAUUUUGCAGUCUGAAACACUUAAAGGUUGACCUGGAAGUAGUUUCAUGCUGCAAUCAUGAAAUCCUACUCAACAUUCAUCCUACUCAACACAAAAUACUUCUGAGUAGACAUGCAUUGGAUUGCACAGUUAAGAGUUAUUUCUACAGUUUCUAAGCAACCAUAUAAGCUUCAUUCUCUUCCCUUGUUCUGGACUCUGCAAAAGAACUGGUUGAUGAAUUCAUAAGAACGAGGUGGCAACCACAUGGCCUGUCAAUAAUAGCCAGUUUGUAAACUCCUUAAGGGCCAACUAUAUCGCCGCACCUCUGGAACACUGGUUGCUCCCCUUUCCUACCAAUGAGGGGAUGGAAUAAGCAAGUCAGAACCAGGGCCCAUGCCACACACCAACCUGGAGUUGUGACAAAGAACAAUUAAUUGAAACCACAAACAUAACGAAUUUACCAGGUGGGUGGGAGGAACAAUGGCAGCAGGCACGGUGUCUGCGCUGGCACCAGUGCUUAGUGCUUGCCUCACAAGGGGCUUCUGGAAAGAAGAAGCCCCCUGCCUGUGUUAUGUUCGGCUGGAGGGCGCCCGGUGCCACAACGGCCCUCACCCAGUGAAUCGGGUAAGGCAUUUAUGUGUGCAUAGGCGACAUACCUCCAGCUGGCAGAACCAAGAAAGACGCAAACACCAGGUUGGGAUAACAAAUGGCUACAACAUGUUUAUUGAUUACAGGAACAAAGGUUGGCUGGCAUGCAUGGGUCCUGGAUCAUGGAUUGGGCCGUCCACUGCUGACUGAUACCGCUUACCACACUGGUGUGCGGACGGAACCAAACCGGGCCAACUAUACCACCACACCUCUGGAACACCAGUUGCUGCCCCCUCUUACCAAUAAAUGGGGGGGGGGAGUAAGCAAGACAGAUCCAGGGCCCAUGCCACACGCCACAAAGAGGGGGGUGGGGGCACAACAGGUAUAGAAAAGCACCAUAUGUGCUUACUUCUCAUUAUUUUGCCUCAUAAUUUGUCAAACAAUGCAUUGCAUAGUCAAAAUGUUCUGUAACUAAAAAUAAGAAGAAAUAUAUAGUUAUAUUUUCAUGUAGCCUUAAUGUAGCCUUAAUGGUUCUGUUGUACAUCUCAUGUGAUUUAACCAAAUCCUCAGUUCUGUCUCCCUUAAUCGACUUACCUUUUAUUUUCUUUAGGAGCAAUGCUGUUCUACAACAGCAAGUGUGUGUGUGAAAGCAAGAUGGACAAUAUUCUGUAUUUGAAUGACAUAAUCAAAAUUGAUAUAGAUCAAUACUUAAUCAAGGUUGACACAGAUCAAAAUUUUAAUCCCCCAAUUCUGAGAGUGCCUUGGAUCACAAGAAGAUCAAACCAGUCUAUAUUCCAGGAAAUAAUGCCCGACUGCUCACUGGAGGGCAGGAUAUUAAAGAGUUGUCCUAAGAAAGUUUUUUGGCUCAGAGGAAGAAAAGGGAACAUAAGGAACUUAUUGAGAGUAAGCCUUAAAGAAACCACUACAGUCUGUUCUCAAUUCCCAGUUUCACAUUCCUGAUAUGACCCAUGGACUGCAGCUUAGGUUGUGCCAUCUUGAUUUGACAUCUGAGAUGAAUUCAGAGGAAAGCCAUUUGUCUGACUACAUCAGCUAAGUCAAUAAGGGGAAACAUUUUUAGUACAAGAACAUGGCUCGUUACGUCUCUGACUCCCCGUCACUCCAUCCCCUUUGAAAUGUAAUGAUGGGAGGGAGCGGUAAGGAUCUUUCAGCAUUUCUGUUAGAAAUCUCAGCCUUUAGAGGUUUCUAAACCCCAGCCAUGUAUAUAAUAACACCACAUGAAAAAGAAGGUAUGUGAGUUGUCAGCAAGGGUGAUUAUGUUUGCUUUAGAAAAGUUUAAAGACAUAUAAGCUGAUUAUUAGGGUCAGUAAGGUUGGGAAUAAUUUAAGACUGGCUUUUGUGUAUAACUUUUGGAUGCUUUUUAAAAUAAAAAAGCACUGUCUUUAUAUCUGCAAUCUUCAGUAUAUUAUAUAGCCUAUUUCUAAACAAAAACAUUUUAAUAAUAAUAAUAUCAACAACAAUAAUAAUAAUUUUAUUUCUUUCUCACCUCUCCUUGUGGUUCAAGGCAAGUUACAGAAUUAUUAAAACACAUAAACAUUGUAAAAAUACCACAAAUACACAUAUUAAAAUGUAUUUCUAUAAAAGAUACAUAUUAAAACGUUUCUUUAAAAUACGCAUUGAAAUACACAAAACAGAUUAAAUAAUGGACACAUGUUUAAAAUCCAUGUAAUAAUAAUUUUGAAGGAAUAAAAUAUGAAUAAAUUUAUUUUAUAUAAGAAAUAAGAACAAAUCUCAAAAAAAAUGGCAGUUCUCACUCCAUGAAUACAAUCAUGCCCAUAGUUCACUUUAGUUUGUUCUUAUUGUUCCAUCUCAAUCCACUUCUACACUGCCCUAUAUCCCAGAACCUGAUCCCAGAUUAUUUGUGUUGAACUGGAUUAUAUGAGUCUACACUAACAGAUGGGGUAAACAGAUAAUCUGGGAUCAGAUCCUGGGAUAUAGGGCAGUUUUAGGCCUGGUUUUAAAGGAGAAAUUGUCUUGGUUGUCCUGUAAGAUUUGUUUGUUUUUUUCAUGUCAGGAGUGACUUGAGAAACUGCAAGUCAUUUCUAAUGUGAGAGAAUUAGCCAUCUGAAAGGACGCUGCCCAUGGGACGCCAAGAUGUUUUGAUGUUUUUACCAUCCUUCUCUCAUGUCUCCACAUGGAGAGCUUUUGCUGACAGAACUCAUCUGCGCUCUCCCUGGAUUUGAACCAGCAACCUUCAUGUCAGCAACCCAACCUUCAAGUCAGCAUCCUGUUGGCACAAGAGUUUAAUCCCCUGCACCACCAGGGGCUCCGUCCUGUAGGAUGAUCUGAGCCAAGAAAAGGACAGGGGGAAUUUGGCCCUGUUGGGUUCUCUUGGGCUCCUCAACAUCCUUCAAUGCCAUUGACAAUGGUGUCCUUCUAGAUAGAAUUGAAGGCACAACUUUGCAAUGGUUCCCUGUCUGUUUGAAUAGCUGAUACCAGAAGAUAGUAUUGGAGUAUUACUGCUUGCUCAGUAACAUUUAUCUAUCCCUUUCUUCAGGAGUGAAUUCAAGACUACUUUAAGCACCAUUGCUCCAUCCUGCAGGAUCCUGAGACCUGUGGUUUACUGAGAUAGGGAGAAUUCUGUAGCAAAGAACUUAGAGGCACUCCAUUGAAAUACAGCAUUAGUGCCCUCUAGUACAGAAUUCCCUUGAUGAAGAAAGUUCCUUCAAUGUACAAAUCCCAGGACUCCAUAGGAAGCAGCCAUGACUAAGUAGUUCAGUGUUUCUCAUUCUCUGCUCCUCCUGAUGUUUUUGCACUUAAGCUCCCAUAAUUCCUAAUCGCUGGUUUUUAUUUGAAAAUCAAGAGGUUCUGAUAAGAAGAAUACUGGACAAAUGGAAACAGUUGAAAUUUGGGACUUAAUUUGUACACUGGUGUUUUGUGCAGAAAACAAUCAUGCAAGAAUUUUGUAUGAAAAAAGUCUGAAUCACAAAUAGACUUUGAGAACUGUGAGGUUUAUCACAGUAGGAAGAAAGUUGCUAAAAGUAUUUGUUGCUUCCUCCAAAAAGAAAAUUCAUGAAGAAUUCCAUCUUUAGUUCAACCUUUCUGAUACUCAAAAUGGCUACAGGAGCAUAAAUAUUUGAUCAUACCACAGUAACAAGUCAAUCCCAAACUUGUUACAGGAGAUGGUGGAAUCUAAACAAAAUGACGAAAUGGAUGGAGAUUGGGGGGGGGGGGGUAGUAAAGAAACUAAAAGAUGUAAGAUGAAGUCUUGCCCUGGUUAGAAAUGUUGUAUAAUCAACAGUUAGCCAGUACAGUUAAACAUCUUAUUUGCAUCUUUGUUUCUAAGUUUAUACACUUCUGAAACUAGAAUAAAUUAUACUUGGUUUGGCUUCACUUAAUUUUUUGUAACUUCAUUAGCAUUAACAAGGUAUCUAGCUUAGUUAAUAAUGUGAGAGCAAUUUUUUGCUUGUCAGAGCAGAAUACAAAUGUGGGGAAAGCUAUUUAAUACUACUCUCCAAAAUAAUUGGAAUUCAUAUAAAUUGCCUUCGGUUCCCUACAAUCCUGCACACAAUUAGGCAUCUCACAUUCCAAUGAAGUAAAUAUGAUAUAAGUAGUAUGUGUAGGAUCACAGCCUUAGUAUUCUGGUCAAUGCUGUCUCAACAGAAAGACCUAUAAAUCAGAUUUUUCAACUCCAGCUCCUAUGCAAUCCUCUUGCAAACCAAGCUCAUUUUUUAGAAAUAUGUAAAUUACAAACAUUAUAUUUGUUACCAUCUAAUUGCAGUUGAAAUUGAAGAGCAAUUAUGUUUAUUAUCCCCAUUCUCUGAGUUGAAACAGCAUCUCCACUCUGCAGCAUCACUUGCCCUAAGUAAAUAGGCUGCUUGACAAAUUCUCAUUAUUCCUCUAGAUCACCUCUUGAUCUCUUUUUGUGACCAUUGCCACAGAGUAUUUCCCAAAACAUGACAGCAGAAGUACAUUCUUGCAAUUCAUUAUCUGGAGAGCCUGGGCUUCUCACUUGGCACCUUUCACAAGCAGGAGAUAAAAACUUCCAGCCGCUUUCAUUUUGAAACAACAACCACCAAGUUCCAUUAAGGCCCAAUCCUGAAAACCCAAUAAAUCUGAAAAACCGGUUUGAAGAGCUCUCUCCCCACGCUGUUCCUAUAAUCAUCAAUCGAGGGAAGUUAUUUGGAGUCUCUUUCCCAUUAUGAAAUUAAAACCCUUUUAUAUCACUUUAACUGGCAUGGCAGUAUCCUAUGGAAUCCUGGGGUUUGUAGCUCAAUGAGCAAUAGAGUAAAAUUGCUUUUGCUCUCAAUGUGACUAUUUGUACCUCAUCAUCUUAGAUACUGUGUUUGUGGUCCCCCAUGCUAAAUAUAAAAAAUAACUGUGUAUCUGAAAUAUACCAUUGGUUUUUUAAUGUACUAUCAAACUGGCUUCCAGGUUGAGAUGCAUGAAGUGCCUGGUUGUUCAGAAGUAUGCCCUAUUGUGUUCAGAGAGGCUUAGUUUCAAACAAUUGUGUUUAGUCUUGCAACCUGAAUUAAUAUUUUCUUCUUUCCAAUGUUAUAUAGCAAAAUGACCUCUUUUUUUCUUUUUCUUUCCUUUUUUAUUGUCCCCAGGAUGCUUGCAUUCUGGACUUUAGCUCCUCUGAUAAAACACAACACCCUGAUAUAGAUUUAUUUAUGGUUCAUAAAUCCCAAUUCUCCAACAGGUUAAUGAGUAGCAACACAAUGCUGAAAACAUGUUAUUUACUGACUGUUUUAUUUAGGACUGCCACCUAGAGGGUUUGUUGUUUGCUUCUAAUUUUAUGUUACCAGAAAAAAAAUAUUUCAAAUGGCAUGGUCCUUUUGGUUGGUAUUUAAAAAAAAAAAAUAGCAACGCACAUUUUGUUUUGUUUUUCAAAGCAAUGUGUGUUUUCAAACCAUGUUAAGUCUCUUCUGACAUAAAAAGGAAAAGAAGAAAAAAGAAGAAAAGCAAUGUGGUGCCCCUUUAACAGAAACUUGUUUUUAUUUUAGCAUGAGCUUUUGCGGAUAUAAAUCCACUUCUUUGGAUGCAGUACAAAGUGAUAUCAAAGUCUCAGAUAUAAAGCAUGUUUAUACAUGUUUUCUUUGGUGAAACAAAGCUGUCCCAUAACUGAUGACCCCAGUUUCACAAACAUAGCUGUGGUAAGGAGGGGUUUUUUUUUUUAAGUAGGUUACCACAGCAAAAGAAAUACACUUUUAUUGCUAUGUUCCACAAACAUGAUGUCAUAGAUUGAACAGGCUACAUUGACUCCUGCUCUAUCCAGACCGCAGUUACCACGGGAGACCUCCUAGGUAGCAAUAUCGACAAAUUAUUAAACAAAAUUAACAUUGUAUUCUGAAUGA